AUUGAACGCUGGCGGCAGGCCUAACACAUGCAAGUCGAACGGCAGCACAGAAGAGCUUGCUCUUUGGGUGGCGAGUGGCGGACGGGUGAGUAACACGUAGGAAUCUACCCAGUAGUGGGGGAUAACCUGGGGAAACCCAGGCUAAUACCGCAUACGCCCUGAGGGGGAAAGCGGGGGAUCUUCGGACCUCGCGCUAUUGGAUGAGCCUGCGUCGGAUUAGCUAGUUGGUGGGGUAAGGGCCCACCAAGGCGACGAUCCGUAGCUGGUCUGAGAGGAUGACCAGUCACACCGGAACUGAGACACGGUCCGGACUCCUACGGGAGGCAGCAGUGGGGAAUAUUGGACAAUGGGCGCAAGCCUGAUCCAGCCAUGCCGCGUGGGUGAAGAAGGCCUCGGUUGUAAG
rnacentral:rRNA from 1 species